rnacentral:tRNA from 1 species
GGAUAUAGCUCAGUUGGUAGAGUGCUUGACCCGCAUGCACUAGGCCCUGAGUUCAAUCCUCAGCACCA